CGUAACAGCAAGUAACACAAUAAAAUUGCGGUUUAAGGUUUAUGACGUAUUAAAAAAAAACUACUUACCAAAUCUUGUUCAAACCAAUUUUCGGUGGAAGUUUGCAUGGUAAUGUACAUCAUAUAUUUUUUUUAGUUUUAUCAUACUCUUAUUUUAGAAGUUACAGGGGGGGGGACACACAUUUUACAACUUUGGAAGUACCUAUCCAUAGAUAUCCCACACGUAUGGGUUUGAUGAAAAAAAAAUUUUUGAGUUUCAGUUCUAUGUAUGGGGAACCCUAAAAAUUUAUUGUUUUUUUUCUAUUUUUGUAUGAAAAUCUUAAUGCGGUUCACAGAA